rnacentral:rRNA from 1 species
UGGGGAAUAUUGCACAAUGGACGAAAGUCUGAUGCAGCGACGCCGCGUGAGGGAAGAAGGUAUUCGUAUUGUAAACCUCUGUCUUCGGGGACGAUAAUGACGGUACCCGAGGAGGAAGCACCGGCUAACUACGUGCCAGCAGCCGCGGUAAAACGUAGGGUGCGAGCGUUGUCCGGAAUUACUGGGUGUAAAGGGAGCGCAGGCGGAAAGGUAAGUUGAAUGUGAAAUCUAUGGGCUCAACCCAUAAAUUGCGUUCAAAACUAUUUUUCUUGAGUGGAGCAGAGGUAAGUGGAAUUCCAGGUGUAGCGGUGGAAUGCGUAGAUAUCUGGAGGAACACCAGUGGCGAAGGCGGCUUACUGGGCUUUAACUGACGCUGAGGCUCGAAAGCAUGGGUAGCAAACA